CCUCCUGCUAGUGGACGCCCAUGGCACCCUACCAUAUCUGUUUUCAGGAGCUUUGGGUUUCAGGCUGCAUCUAAGAGUUCCAUUGAUGCCAGUUUGGGAAUUAAGGAUAAAAUGAUUGUCUUUAGGUCAGCUGACCAAUGCUUAGAAGCCCUCAGUGGAAUCUGAAGAUACUCUAGAGUUGAUUUGGUUGUCAGAUUGGACAACAAAACACUUUUUGACAUGCCAGGUGGGGAUGGAAUGGCUAAAGGUUUGAGACCGGCCGUCUCUCUUCUUCGCACCACCUUCUCUUGUGUUGCUUGAAUCAUCAAAUGAACAUCAGGGAUUAGAAGCCUUCCCAGGGCAUAGCUUGAAAAGUAUACUCAUUUCAAAGUUUUCAACAUCAUUUCAUCCUUUGAUUUUUAAACUGAUCAUUUUGCGUUGGGUGUGAUCAGAAAAGCCCAACCGCUUCCUCUUCUUAUUUUCAAGAAUUGUACAGAGCAUCAAAUUGUAGUCAUCAGACUAGAAUUAAGCCUCUGAUUUCCUUUCAAGGAGGCAAAAAUUUCACACUUUUCUGCAUGCAAUUCAGUUUCUUGGUAGUGUAUAAUGUUACAGUUCAAUGAGUUGCUAAUUAAGCCCAAUUGUAGAACAAAGGACAAUCUGCCAUCUCACUCAAGGAGUUCAAUCGGAACUUUUAAAAUGCUAUACUUAAAAAGGAAUCCGCUCUGCCUAAUUUGGCUUGUGGCUUAUGUGUUCCAUAUUUGAUGCUUUUUUUGGAUUUUAGAAUCUCUUCCAGGGACUGCAAGGACCCCAUGCAAGCUUAUCAAGAGUUUUCAGAGCCUGGAAAAUUUCCUUUUUUGUGUAACAACAUUACUAUUUGGGAAGAAGGUUGAUUUCUCAAAUCUGGCAUUUCCUAUUUAAGAAAACCAAGAAAGACAAGAAGCUUAGCUCAAACACAACUGACCCUCCUGGUGCAAUGCACAACCAUGAGAGAUGUGUGCACACUCUUGUGUCACAUUGAUCACAUAGGAUAUUCUCUCACAGGAUGGCCAGACUGAUUCUCUUACAGAAACGAUGAGGAGCUCCCCUUGUGCUACCUAGGGCCAAAUGUGAUUUUCAAUCCAGAGGUUACUGGAAGGCCAUGAGCCCAAAAGAACUGGAAGGCCACCUCUGAAGUAUCUUAAUACUGAUCCCUGGAACUGUUGACAUUAACCCUGUGCAUGGCAAAGGUUCAUCUCAGUGACAAUCUUGGUCUCAUAAAUACAUAACCAUUCUCAGCUACCACAUCAGGAGCAUCACUUUUAUGGUACACCAGGUGCCUCACAUCAAGGUGGGCUACAAGAUUUUUGGAGUGGUUCAAGCAUUGCCACCUUCAGUGGGCCUCUCAAUCUGGAUGAAGCAGGACAUAAAAAUUGAGCAUUUUUCUUUAGGCUGCUUCUCAUUCUUCUGGAUACUCUAUACAAGUCAGAGAUGAUAGUUCCUUCAGGAUGGUGGAAUCAUCACUCUUCUUGGAGGUCUGAAAAAAAUUGGCAAACCAGCUACCUUCUUUGGCCAACCAUGGCACAUAGCAUACAAAAUUGGACAUUAUAUAACUGAGAUAAACAAACUUUGGUUGCUAAGUCUUGC